GGGUAUUACCUUCAGGAAGCCCGAACACCCCAAAUAUAUAUUUUUUAUUUUUCUUUUUGUUUUGGUCUAACUUGCUCUCAAAGUUUGGAAAAGAGUUCCUACAAAGGUUUUGGACAGUGAUUUUUACCCUCACGCCGAAAAACCUUAAACCUUACCCUAGCCCCAUAACCUAAUACCCGGGUAUUUCCUUCAGGAAGCCCGAACACCCCAAAUAUACAUUUUUUAUUUUUGUUUUGGUCUAACUUGCUCUCAAAGGUUGGAAAAGAGUUCCUACAAAGGUUUUGGACAUUGAUUUUAACCCUAACGCCAAAAACCUUAAACAUUACCCUAGCCCAGAAACCUAGUAUUACCUUCAGGAAGCCCGAACACCCAAAAAAAUUUUUUUUCAUUUUACAUUUUUUUGGUGUAACCAACUCCAAAAGGUCUGAAACAUGUUCCUAAAAAGGUUUUGGACAGUGAUUUUAACCCUUACGCCAAAAACCUUAAACCUAACCCUAGCCCCAUAACCUAAUACCCGGGUAUUACCUUCAGGAAGCCCGAACACCCCAAAUAUAUAUUUUUUAUUUUUCUUUUUUUUUUGGUCUAACUUGCUCUCAAAGUUUGGAAAAGAGUUCCUACAAAGGUUUUGGACAUUGAUUUUAACCCUAACGCCAAAAACCUUAAACAUUACCCUAGCCCAGAAACCUAGUAUUACCUUCAGGAAGCCCGAACACCCAAAAAAAUUUUUUUUCAUUUUACAUUUUUUUGGUGUAACCAACUCCAAAAGGUCUGAAACAUGUUCCUAAAAAGGUUUUGGACAGUGAUUUUAACCCUUACGCCAAAAACCUUAAACCUAACCCUAGCCCCAUAACCUAAUACCCGGGUAUUACCUUCAGGAAGCCCGAACACCCCAAAUAUUUUUUUUUCAUUUAUCUUUUUUUUUUUGGUCUAAUUAACUCCAAAAGGUUGGAAAAGACUUCCUACAAAGGUUUUGGACAGUGAUUUUAACCCUCACGCCAAAAACCUUAAACCUUAACCUAGCCCCAUAACCUAAUACCCGGCUAUUACCUUCAGGAAGCCCGAACAACCCAAAUAUAUAUUUUUUCUUUUUCUUUUUUUUUUUGGUCAAACUAGCUCCAAAAGGUCUGAAACAUGUUCCUUAAAAAAUAUUGGACAGUGAUUUUAACCCUUACGCCAAAAACCUUAAACCUAAUCCAAGCCCCAUAACCUAAUACUUAAACCUGAAGGGUAUUACCUUCAGGAAGCCCGAACAACCUAAAUAUUUUUUUUUUUCAUUUUACAUUUUUUUUUGGUGUAACCAACUCCAAAAGGUCUGAAUCUUGUUUCUUAAAAGGUUUUGGACAGUGAUUUUAACUCUAACACCAAAAACCUUAAACCUUACCUUAGCCCCAAAACCUAAUACCUUCAGGAAGCCCGAAAACCCCAAAUAUUUUUUUUUUUUCUUUUUUUUUGGUCUAACUAACUCCAAAAGGUCUGAAACAUGUUCCUUAAAAAAAAUUGGACAGUGAUUUUAACCCUAACGCCAAAAACCUUAAACCUAAUCCUAGCCCCAAAACCUAAUACCCGUAUAUUACCUUCAGGAAGCCCGAACACCCCAAAUAUAUUUUUUUCAUUUUACAUUUUUUUAUUGGUCUAACUAACUCCAAAAGGUUGGAAAAGACUUCCUACAAAGGUUUUGGACAGUGAUUUUAACUCCACGCCAAAAACCUUAAACCUUAACCUAGCCCCAUGAUGGGAGUCACGCGACGUGAUGCGAGAGGAAGCCACGGAGUAGGGAGCUCCGCACUUCAUUGCUAUCUUUAUCCUGUUUAAUAUCAACACCAGAUAUAUUAUCACUCAGACUAAGUACUUUUAGUUGAAGGGGGUGCUAAAAAUGUCGAAACUUUCUAAGACUUCAGGCUGUGGAGACAUAAAAAGACUACUACGGUCUCAGGGGGCCGACGCCAUGAUGCAAGAUGGAGCUAAAGCGCCCAAGCAGCAGCAAGCUAACGACUUAGCUCAAGAUAUUAGCAACAUCUACUCAAUGCUUACAAAGAUUUCUGAAGAUCUCGGGGGGCUCGCAGAAAUACGUCGCACCACAGCGUCGGUGGAAGCUAAACUAUCAUCCCUUAUUACAAGAAUGGACGACGUAGAGAAACGAGUGGAGUACUUGGAAGUGACUGAGCAGGGCUGGCAAGCUAACCCGCCAGCUAACAAGGCUGAUAUCGCACAGAUAUGGGACAAAUUAGAGGACAUCGAGAAUCGCUCAAGGCGUAACAACGUUCGUUUCGUCGGCUUUCCGGAGGGUAAGGAGGCAGGAGACGUGGUGAGAUUUCUGGAGGAGCUGUUGCCGAGUCUGCUAAACAUCGAGGGGAGACGGGAGAUUGAACGGGCCCACCGGGUCCCGAGCCAGAGACCAGCGCCAGGCGACCGGCCCAGACCAAUACUGGCCCGGUUUUUGAGAUCGUUGGACCGGGAUGCGGUGAUGAGAGCAGCGAGGAACAAAGGCAAGCUGACCUGGGGGAAUACUACUGUCAUGCUUUUCCCCGAUUACUCCAGGGCCACCCAGAUGAAGCGUGAGAAAUUCAAAGAUUGCAAGAAAAAACUGCACGACCGAGGGGUUGGUUUCAGGAUGCUGUUCCCAGCUAAGCUGAGAAUUGAGACCGGCAGCGGUGAGAAAGCUUUUGAGUGCCCACGGAAAGCCAUGGCCUUCAUAGAUGCUUUGCAGUGAGUAUUGAUGGAUGGAGGUGUUCAUAUUGGUAUCCUGCGCGCCCAAACGUCUGCUGAGGACACUGGUGUUGCCUUAUUUUCCUGUGCGGUAGCGGUGAGUGAGGGAUCACGACAAGUGGAGCCCCGCGGACCUGACACGGACCGUCAGACCUCGGUUAGAGGGACUUUUGAGGGGGUUAGAAUGUGCAAAGUUCAGGUUUAAUUGCACUAAAUUUGUGUUAUUUAUUAUUAUUAUUUAUUUUUUUUCUUGGGGGAGGUGGCGGGGUACAGUCACCACCACUGUUAGGAUAUUGCUUUUGAUAAACGGCCAUGUGUUAUCGAUGAUUAGGCAGACAUGUCUUCACAAUUAAAUUUAAUGCGUCUCUCCACUUGGAAUGUUAAUGGUUUGGGGAAUCCCGUCAAGAGAAAAAAGGUGAUGGCCAUCCUUAAGGCCAAAAAAUAUGAUGUGGUGUUUCUUCAAGAAACUCACAUGUCAAAAGAAGAAUCUGAGAAGCUCUGUGUAGGAUGGGUUGGACAUGUUUUUUACAGUGUAGGCUCCAGCAAGAGUAAAGGGGUUAUAAUUUUAGUAAGUAAACAUCUACAAUUUAAGUGUCUCAAGCAAAUAAGAGAUAAUACAGGUAGGAUGAUUAUAGUACUGGCUGAAAUACAGUCGCAGAAACUAAUUUUGGCCAAUAUAUAUGCUCCUAAUCUGGACGAUCAAUCUUUUUUCUCUGAUCUUGAAGGGAAGUUACAAAUA
rnacentral:lncRNA from 1 species